rnacentral:lncRNA from 1 species
ACUUAAAGAGGACGGCAGAUCAAGAGCAUCUCAUCCUCCGGCUGCUGAGUCAUCCUGCUCUGGCAGUUAUUUAAACAGAAGGCUCCAGGAGACAUACAAUCAACACUCCACUCAGACAAUGCCCAGACCUCCAGAAACCAUGUGUCAAGCUCGGAUUGCCUUAGACAGGUGCAAUUUAAGAACAGCUUUCAUCCUCUUUUCUCUCAUAUUGUCACACUAUGUGUUCUGACUUCUGGCUCCUUUCCUCACAAGAAGCUCACCCAGCUGGAACUCUUAUGGGACCUUGGCACCAGAGACCACAAAUUCCUCUUUGAAGUUUUCUAACAGCAACAAUGGUAUUUCUGACUUGGCUUUCUUGUAUUUCUCUCACGUUAACAAAAUUGGUUCAGCAUCUACCAUGGGCUACAUGCUGAGCUACAGGUAAGGUUUGGCUAAAGGAUGAAUAAGAACCCCUCCUUGUCUUCAGGAGUUUGUCUAGCAGAGGAGUCUGUCAUGUAAUCAGGAAACUCCAGUACACAACGUGAUAGCUCUAAGACAGGUAUAUACAAGAUGAUGUUCUGGACCUUAACUGUUUGGGGAGUACUACUGCCUUUGUCUAAAAGCCAUCACCCUUUUUAUAUGCCAUUUGGGAGGAACUGGGGGGACGUGGGAGGCUUCAAAGGGUUAUGGGAGGAUGGACAUUUUAAAAGGGCUUUUCUUUUCUUUUUUUUUUUUUGAGACAGAGUUUCGCUCUGUCGCCCAGGCUGGAGUGCAGUGGCGCGCGAUCUCGGUUCACUGCAAGCUCCACCUCCCGGGUUCACGCCAUUCUCCUGCCUCAGCCUCCUGAGUAGCUGGGACUACAGGCGCCCGCCACCACACCCAGGAAUCCAACUUGCUGUUUGCUAUCACAUGUGCUAUACAUGCUGUUGAUGAAACUGCUAAAGGGGCUGAAUGUGACUGACGUCUUUGGAAGGAUGAGACUUAGCGUGCCUGUACAGUUGUGUCCAAAUGCUGUCCUCAUCUCCCAAUGAAAAGGGUUUUUCCUUAAGCCUCACAACAAUUUACAGCAUUGCCAGCAGCAUUCAGUACAUUCAGAACAGGAUAAUUUCACCCGCAGCUGAACUAGGGCCAUGCCUGGGACAGACAGAGAAUGGCCUUCCAGCAGACAUGCCAAGAAGCAAGCCAGGGUCAGUGAGUGAAGAGGAGGGCAGGCCCAUUUGAAGCAACACAGUUUAUGUAAGUGUGAUCUAACUGCUUUCACUGGAAAUGGGUCAGACUCCAGUUGAGAGAACCAGGGGCCUGAAUGACCCCAGCAAAAUCACUGUGGCAAUUCUUUCAAUCACCUCUGAGAAUAUGGCCCUGUGACGACAUAAUGACGUUUGGAUUAAUUCCAGUCGGCUGUGUUUUCCCCUCCUUUCUUGCCUCCCCGUAGUUGAUUUGCCAAAUUUUUUUUGUUUGCUUAAAUACGCGGAACUAAACAGGAUACAUUAUAUGACAGUCUGUGAUAAAUUUACCACUGGGAAUAGGGAAAAAGUAUGGGAUAAAGAAAUAGGUAUUUUUCGCCUCUCACAGCUGUGAUUCAGUUCUGACUCAAAAGGAAGUGUGCCACCUACUGAAUCACAGAAACCACUUCCUGUGGCUGUUUGGUUUAUUCUGGAGGAGCAUCAGGCCAAGUGCUGCCCUGCCCUGACCCUGACUGGCUCUUCAGAGCCAAGGCAUUCACAGCUUGAGGUGGUUUGGCCUCAGACUCUUGAGAACAUUGCAUAUUAAAUUACAAGUGUUUCGUUUCCUAGCAAGGAGUCUUUAGCAACAUGAAAACGAACGUGUGUUAUUUGCAAACCAAGUAUAUCAUUACUGAACCUGAAUAUCCUUACUUUUUCAUAAGGUACGUAUUCCGGAUGACCACUCUUAAGAUCUGAAUGUACACUGGUUCUGUUUUUCCUGAGGGGAACUUGGGCAGUCUGCAGGGUGGCAUUUACCAGCUGAGGGACUUCAAGAGCACCCUUUAAUCAGUGUGGCAGCACUCAACUUGUAUUCACUCACUCAGAGUAUUUUUGAGCAUGUACUUAUUGCCAUGUGCUGUGCUAGGUAGGGGUAGAGGGUACAGUGGUGAACAAGACCCCACAGCUCCUGACCUCAUGGCUCAUGUGUUCUACACCAUAAGGGAAUCAAGCUGUGUCUCCCGGGGCAGGGGCCUUCCUCUGUUCACCAUGCAGCCCCAGCAUCUAGCACCUGGCGUUGCAUAAAGGAGGCUCUAAAUCAAGCUUGUCCAACCCAAGGCCCACGGGCCACAUGUGGCCCAGGAUGGCUUUGAAUGCAGCCAAACACAAAUUUGUAAACUUUCUUAAAACAUUAUAAGAUUUGUGUGUAUGUGUUUUAGUCCAUCAGCUAUUGUUAGUGUUCAUGUAUUUUAUGUGUGGCCCAAGACAAUUCUUCUAUGUGGCCCAAGGAAACCAAAGAUUGAACACUCCUGCUCUAAAUACUUGUUUGUUGAAUAGAUACAUGAAAAGAAAGAAGGAGAGAAGGAAGAAAGGAGGGCGGAAGGAAAGGAAGAAGGGAGAGAAGAAGAGAAGAAAGAAGCAGAGAAAGGAAGAGAAAAGAAAUUACGGCCAGUGCGGUGGCUCACGCCUGUAAUCCUAGCACUUUGGGAGGCCUAAGCGGGCUGAUCACCUGAGGUCAGGAGUUCGUAAGCCAGCCUGGCCAACAUGGUGAAACCCUAUCUCUACUAAAAAUACAAAAAUCAGCAGGGCAUGGUGGUGCGUGCCUGUAAUCCCAGCUACCUGGGAGGCUGAGGUAGGAGAAUCGCUGGAACCCGAGAGGCGGAGGCUGCAGUGAGUUGAGAUCAUGUCACUGCACUCCAGGCUGGGCAACAGAGUGAGACUCUGUCUCAGAAAAAAAAAAAAAGAAAGAAAGAAAGAAAGAAAGUUACCAUUAGUUUUUUGUUGUAUUUGCAAGCAAAGACAAAAGCACCAAGGUACUUGUUUCCUUCUGUAAUUAGAGUUUCAAAUAGACUAAAAGUUUCUGCUCUUAGGUGGGUCUAGAGACUCUCCAGUACCUCAGGACCUCAGGACACAUGGGGUCUCUUGGUUGUUUUCUUUUCAUUGUUGUUGUUUAUUUUAUUUUUGUUUUUAUUUUUUAACUUUAAAACAAUUUUUUGUAGAUGAAUAUGCUUACAUAUGUUUGGGGGUUUUUUUGAGACAGGGUCUUGCUCUGUUGCCCAGGCUGGAGAGCGGUGGUUUAACCACAGCUCACUGCAGCCUCGACCUCCCAAGGUAGGGACUGCAGGUGUGUACACUGGGGUGCACCACCACACCCAGCUAAUUUUUAAAUUUUUUUUUGUAGAUAUUGUCUCACUCUGUUGGCCAGACUGGUCUUGAAAUCCUGGGCUCGAGCAAUUCUCCUGCCUCGGCCUCGUAACGCGUUAGGAUUACAAGCGUGAACACCGCACCUGGCCAGCAUGUGGUCUCUUAACCAGAGGAGGCCUCUUCUGAACUAGGUAGAGGUCCUGAGAAUUGAUUCUGAGAGUAAAAGGCUCUUUGUUCUCCUCAGAGUAGAUUAGAAUCCCUAAUGAUAGAGCAUCUAUUAUUCCUCUAGUGGUCCAUGCCCAACAGAUUCAUCCAAGAAUAGAUGAAGAUCUUUGUAAUGUUGUGCAAGUAAUCUAAUCACCCCACAGAAGAGCUGUGACUUAAAUUAUCCCAGAGUCGGCCCACCUGUUUUCAUAAAGAUCAAUGUAACUUGUAAAUUUCUUCAGUUCUCCUCACCUAUCAUCAUUUGACUAACAAAACCCAGAAAACUAGGCUAGUUAUGGUGGCCUAUGCAUAUAAUCCCAACUCUUUGAGAGGCCAGGGUGGGUGGAUUGCUUGAGUCCAGGAAUUCGAGACCAGCCUGGGCAACAAAGGGAGACCCUGCCUAUAUCCCAGCUAUGCAGGAGGCGAGGCCAGAGGAUUGCCUGAGCCUCAGAGGUUGAGGCUGUAGUGAGCCAUGAUUGCCCCACUACACUCCAGCCUGGAUGACAGAGUGAGACCCUGCCUUAAAAAUAAUAAUAAUAGUAAUAAUAUUUCAUAAAGAUACAGGAAACUAGAUUAUAAUUGACAUUUUCAAAGUGAAAUACUGUCUAGAAUGGUGCUUGGCCAACAGUAAGCUUUUUGUAAGUGGAAGUCAUUACUACUACUAUUUCUUUCAUUAUUAUUACCAUUACUACUUUUUUUUACAAAAAAAAAACCCUGGACAACACACUGAAACCAUUACUACUUCUACUACUAUAACUUAGGUUGCACCUGAUAGAGCCAGCAAUUUUUCCAAGGUAUGACAAUGGCCAUAUGUUUAAUGAUAUAAUUCUAUGGCUCAGUGUAUCUCAGCCUUUUUAAACCCUGCUCUUCUUUUGACAAUUGUAAAAAUCUUAAACUGACCUCCAGUUGAAAUCCUCUGUCAAGAAGAUAUUGUCGGCCAGGGGCGGUGGCUCACACCUGUAAUCCCAGCACUUUUGGAGGCCGAGGUGGGAGGAUCACUUGAGGUUAGGAGUUCAAGACCAGCCUGGCCAACAUAGUGAAACCCCAUCUCUACUAAAAAUACAAAAAUUAGGCAGGCAUGGUGGUGUGUGCCUGUAAUCCCAGCUACUCAGGAGGCUGAGGUAGGAGAAUUGCUUGAACCUGGCAGGGCAGAGGUUGCAGCAAGCCGAGAUCACGCCACUGCUCUCCAGCCUGGGUGAGACUGUCUCAAAAAAAAAAAAAAAAAAGAAAGAAAGUAAGAAAAAGAAGAAAUCCCAAUCUCUUCUUUUAUGUGGAUUCUUCCUCACUUGAAUAAUACUUUUCUUCCCCAGUAUUCUCCAUAUUAUCCCAGAGUCAGCCCCUCUGUUUUUGUAAAGAUCUACGUAACCUCCUCUAAGUUUCCCAGUUCUCCUCACCUAUCAUAUCAUUUGGCUCAACAAAGGGCAGGAAGCUAGAUUCUAAUUGAUAUUUUGAGGCCGGGAGCAGUGGCUCAUGCCUGUAAUCACAGCACUUUGGGAGGCUGAGGCGGGCAGAUCACUGGAGGUCAGGAGUUCGAGACCAGCCUGGCCAAUAUGGUGAAACCUCGUCUCUACUAAAAAUACAAAAAAUUAGCCAGGCUUGGUGGCUUGUACCUGUAAUCCCAGCUACUCAGGAGGCUGAGGCAGGAGAAUAGCUUAAACCUGGGAGGAAGAGGUUGCAGUGAGCCGAGAUUGCUCAAUUGCACCCCAGCCUGGGUGACAGAGCAAAACUCCAUCUCAAAAACAAACAAACGAACAAACCUGAUAUUUUCAAAAUUGAGGCAAUUAUAACAGCUAUUUAGCCAAGCAUUAUGAUAGCAAUAAUAGCAAGAAAAUAAAUUAGUUAACAAAUGAGUCUCAGAAGCCCAAUGAUUUUUAUUUUAUUUUUAUUUUUUGAACUUUUAUUUUAGAAUCAGGGGAUACAUGUGCAGGUUUGUUACCCGGGUAUAUUGCAUGAUGCUGAGUUUUGGAGUAUGCAUGAAUCCAACCUGUCAUCCAGGUAGUGAGUAUAGUACCCAACAGAUAGUUUUUUUAACAUUUACUUCACUCCCUUCCCCAAUCUUGUAUUCCCCUGUGUCUACUGUUCCCAUUUUUAUGACUGUGCCAACAAUAAUUUUUUUUCUUUUUUCUUUAAAUAGAGAUGGGGGUCUCUAUUUAAAGAGCCUCCCAAAGUGCUAGGAUUACAGGUGUGAUCCAUUGCACCUGGCCCAUGCCAACAAUAUUUGAAACCCUUAUCUGCGUGUACAAGUUUGCUACUGGUUUUGUUUUGCUCAUUAAUACAUCCCAAGCAUCUAUACCUGGCUUGUAGUACCAGCAUGUAGUAGGUGCUUAAUAAAUAUUUAUUGAAUAAAUAAAUUAGUUUGACAUUAGUUUAACAUCUCAAGUAAAACAAAAUACCAUUCAAUUAAUUCUCUUCUUCUACUUUUUUCUUUUAAGAGAGACAAAUAGUCACACAUACAUCAGCAGGAGAGGAUACAAUUUCCUGUGUUUAAGUUUUUAUGAGUUACUUUAGUUCAAAUGUCACAGAAAAUUAUAUUGAACUCUUGACCAAUCUAUCUAUUUUUUCCAUUGGAGUAUUGACCCAAAUAAGAAAUAGCAUAAAGGAAAAAUUAUUUUUUGGCAGAAAAAUAUUCUCUCUAAAUUCUUGUGUGUUUUGUUUUGAUUUUUUCCUUAGUGACUGGAGGCCAGUUUCAAUCCACUGAAGCACAGAUUCCAAAUUUUCAAUCUGGUUUUCUUGAGUAGUGACUGAGUGCCAAAAAUGAAGCAAUGACACAACAUCACCAUCAAGACACUCCCCAGCACGCACACACAUGCCAGAGUCCAACACCAAGAUACUCCCCAGCACGCACACACACGCCAGAGUCCAGGCCAUAUUCGGGUGGCUUGCAAGCUUCUUCCCCCCAAGUAUUUACUCUCAAAAUAAUGGUUUUUGUUUUGUUUUGGUUUGGUUUGGUUUGUUUUUUUCCAAAUACAUUUCUUCCCUAUAUCUUUAACCAAUUCUCAUAAAAUUUUGUCUAAUACACUGGUCAGUGUAUUCCAGACCCUAAAAGAUAACAUAAUGAAACUAUCUAUGACUAAAAGGUAAUCAGGAUCUUCUACUUAUCCUUUUUUCCUCCCUCUUAAACUUUAAUUUUGAUACAUUUGGGAGUGAAAUGAUGACAAUAAAUGCAAAGUAAUUAUUGAAGAAACAGUAAUUUUGUAUUAGCUUACUGAAAAAAAAAAAAAAGAUAACCAAAUAUAUUUUGGCAGCCCCAAACGAGUCACAUGUGAAAUGCAGUGGGAGAGCAGUGUCCUGAAGGAAAAGGUGGCCUGCUGGACAGCCAAGAGAACAAACAUCCACUGCAAGUAAUAUGAGCUCUAAGUUUGGACUAGGCCUAUGUCUGCUCUGAGACUUGGGGCAAUUCACUUAAUCAGAGCCUUAAUCAGCUACGGACUAGCAAUAUCCAUACCCGCUACUUAUUUUGUAAAUCUCCUUUCUAAAGUUAACUCUAUUUAUUGUUCCAUAAUCCCAUAAAUUCUAGAAUCUUUUCCUGUUAUAGCCAAGUUGUCUAUCAUUGACAGAGAUAUUCACCUGGUUGUUUUGGCUUCUCUAAUCCUCCUGGUGAGAACACCUCCAAGGGAGCUUUCAGUGGCAUUUAAGGUCACUUGUGCUCUUGGUCCUAGAAACUGCCUUGAUAGUGGUUUUAGCUCACAUGAGGUAAGUCUUUAUUAUAUGCCCAACCUCUUUAUGCAUUACUUCAUUUAAUUGUAUACUAAUCCUUUGUCAUAGGUUAUCAGAGUGUUUGAUUAUAAGUUACAGGAAGAAAAAAAAAAACAAACUCCAAUUGACUAAAACAAUGGGGCAUUUUUUGACUCACAUAACAGAGAGUCUAGAGAGAAGGCACCUUCAGGUUUGGCUGAUGAAUCCUGUAUCUCUGCCUUGUCUCCAGGCCCCCAGGUUCUGCCUCUGUCCUGACAUCCAGUGUUGGAUUCCUCUUCACAUCAACUCCUCUCUGUAGGUUGGGCCAUCAGACCCUACCUCCUUAUUUAUGUUGAGCAAAGGAGAGAGAAUGCCUCUACAAACAAUGAAAAAAGUGAAAAAAAAAAUCUUUCUCCUCCUUAUAACUUUAGUUAGCUUAACUUUAGUCAGUUGCUUAGCUACUAAACAGUAGCUAUUGGGAGGUGGGAAGGAAUACUAUUGUGUAAUCAACUAAGGCUCAUACAGAGGAUUAGGGUUAUCUGAAUUGAUUUGAAUUAAUUAGAAUUUACUCUCAGAGCUGUGGCAAUUCCUUGAACCACACUGAUUGCUAUAAAGUGGAAGAGGAAUAGAUUGAAUUUUGGGGAGUCAACUACAAUGUGUACUACAGGUAAAUACUAUGAAUUUCCAAUUCACAGAUGAGAAAACUGAGGCAUGUGGUGGGAGGGAGGUUAUGUAAUUUGCCCAGUGUCACAGUUGAACCUAGGCAAAGGCCUAUCUCCAGGUCUAAACAAUUCAGUGGCCUCCUGUGUACAUUUCUGUCUCUCCUUUUUUAUCCACUGUGUCACCGAGGCUGGAUUGCAGUGGCUCGAUCAUGGAGAUCAUGGCUUUCUGUAGCCUUGAACUCCUGGGCUCAAGUGAUCCUCCUGCCUCAGCUUCCUGAGUGGCUGGGACUACAGGCUUGACAACACACCCGGCUAUCCCGUGUAUAUUUCUUGAGGGCUUAUGAUAUAUAAGAGAAACUCCAAAAUAAGAGGACGGUGUGCUAAGGGGAAGACCAAAGCACUAUCAAGAGGUAGAUUCAAUCGUACCCCUUCUAUUUACUAGUUGUGUGACUCUUUUGAAAAUGAGAAUAAUAGGCCAGGCUCGGUGGCUCCUGCCUGUAAUCCCAGCACUUUGGGAGGCUGAGGCAGGUAGAUCACCUGAGGUUAGAAGUUCAAGACCAGCCUAGCCAACAUGGCAAAACCCCAUCUCUAUUAAAAAUACAAAAAUUAGCCGGGAAUGGCAGCAUGUGCCUGUAGUUCCGGCUACUCAGGAGGCUGAGGCAGGAGAAUCACUUGAACCCAGGAGGCAGAGGUUGCAGUGAGCCGAGAUUGCGCUACUGCACUUCAGCCUGGGUGACAGCGAGACUCCAUCUCAAAAAAAAAAAAAAAGGAAGAAAAGAAAAGAAAAUGGGAAUAAUAAAACUUACUUACUGGAGCAGUAGCAAAGAUUAAAAUUUAGACCAUGCAGAAGAAUGUUUUUCAAAAUGACAUGACCUGGUAAUAGGAUAGAAAUGCAAAUUCCUGUUACUGCACCAGACCCACCAAAUAAGAAACUCUGGGGAUGGGACCCAGGACUAAGUACUUUAAUAAGCACUCCAGGUGAUUCUAAUGAUUGUUAAAGUUUGAGAACCACUGGUCUAACACAUUGCCUGGUACAUAAGCUCUUAUUUUGUUGUUAUUGUUCUAAGGACAAUGUGUGUAUUGACUUCUAUUUCCAGGAGUUCAUGACUUGGAGAACUAGGGAAAGGAAGACAAAAAUUCUUUAAUGCAGAACGAUACUGAUUGAUAAAUACCUGAAUAUAAUACAGGUUAAAUGUGCUUUGAAGAUUUAUAAAAGGUUGAAUUUAUUUCCAGCAAGAUGACUCUCAGAAGCCUUUAUAGAUUAGAGAAGAAAUGGAAAGGGGUAAAAAUAAUUAGGAACUAUAAAGCAGGGCAGACAAGUUUUCAAUGGUUACUGCCAAUGUGUAUACAGAAAGUUAGCUUGGCCAGGCAAAGUGGCUCAUGCUUGUAAUAUCAGCACUUUGGGAGGCCAAGGCGGGCAGGUCACCUGAGAUCAGGAGUUUGAGACCAGCCUGACCAACAUGGUGAAACUCUAUCUCUACUAAAAAUACACAAUUAGCCCAGCAUGGUAGAGCAUGCCUGUAAUCCCAGCUACUCAGGAGGCUGAGGCAGGAGAAUCGCUUGUACUUGGGAGGCAAAGGCUGCAGUGAGCUGAGAUCGUGCCAUUGCACUCCAUCCUGGGAAACAAGGGUGAAACUCCGUCUCCAGAAAAAAAAAAGUUACCUUGAAAUAUAUCAAUACAAACAAAUAAAUUAGAUAUUUCAUAUUGUACAGGAACAAAACCCAUCAGAAGAUGUCAGAAGAUAAGGAUUUUUGUCCUGAUGCUACACUUACCAGCUGUCCCUCAGUGUUCUACUUCUUAAAAAAAGAGAGAUGGAUAAACAGAGGCAACCCGAGGAUAAAGGCCUUGCUCAGUGUCACACAUUUCAGUCACUAAAUAAGACACAAUGGAUGCCAGUAUUCUCAUCCCCUCACAAAUAAAGAGCCUUCAAGCUCUUGCAGUCAACAAGAACUUUUGGAAUGAUUUCACUGCCUGAAAAGGCAGAUACAUAGGUGACACCCACAAAUAGGAAGAAAAUCAACCUGAACCUGAGUGUGUGGGCUCACUGACUCUAAGCAGUAGAGACAGAAGAAAAAGUUUUAGCAAAGAAGGGUUCUGAAAGAAAAUAAAUAUAGCUCGUUAUCAAGUGCUGUUUUUACACAGUAAAACAUGGGCAAAAUUACUCUUCUUUAAGUAGUAAUUCUUAUCUCUUGAUUAAGUCACCUACUCAUUCAUUUAAUAAAUACAUACUGAUUGUUUUCUAUGUGUUGAGCACUCAUCUCUGUAUUGGAAAUAUAAUAAUGACCAAAGUUGACAAUAGUAAUAACAAUAAUAGCUAAUAUAGCAGGCACUAAUAAUUAUUUGUUGAGUAAUAUGUCAAAAUUCAGUGUGAACAGCAUUCUAUUUGGGGCUGCAUCCACUGACUAUAACACAGCUAAUCUAUCUGAAAUGUUCCAGCUUUGGGCCUCUCUAACAGAAGAAGCUGUUGUUGGGCCUGCCUCUAGUUGGCGAUGCAUCCACCAAUGAGAAUGAAUUUAUGAUCGACCACUCUUCCUGUAAAGGCCGCUGGAACUGACAGCAUUGUGAUUUUCUUUUACUGUUAGUUUUAAAUUACUAGAACCAACUCAAUUACUAGAACGAACUUUACUUCUUUGUUUCCUACUUAUCAAAACAGUAAAAACAACAAGUAAAAGAAAUGCCAUCUUAAUAUUGUUUUGAUGACAAAACAGUAUUCCUUUUAGUUGUGCUUCAAAUGGAAUAAGAUGCAAACAGGCUUGGUAUGGUGGCUCACCCCUGUAAUCCCAGCCCUUUGGGAGGCCAAGGUGGAAGGAUUGCUUGAGGCCAUGAGUUUGAGACCAGCCUGCGCAACAUAGCAAGACCGUGUCUCUACAAAAAAUAAAAAAUUAGCUGAGUGUAGUGGUGUGUGCUUGUGGUCCCAGCUACUUUUGAGGCUGAGGAGGGAGAAUCUCUUGAGCCCAGAAGGUCGAAGUUGCAGUGAGCCGUGAUCGUGCCAUUGCUCUCCAGCUUGGACAACAAAGCAAGACCCUAUGUCAAAAAAUAAAUAAAUAAAAGACAUAAACAUAUCUGAGAUUAACUUUCAGUGGUAAAUUUGUUCCAUAUAUGAUUUUUAAGGUUAAAUGCUUUGGAAGCUUUAAAAACCAUUUCAGCCCUUUUAAAUGCCAACUUACACUGAUGAUGCUCUCAGAUGUUAGGAAAUCUUUUGAGCAGAAAAUGGAAGUGGGGGUGUUGAGGCAGGGAGGAGAGUGAUGCAAUAUUCCUUAGUGUCAUCCUGUGAUUUCACAAUUUGUUUUUCAAUCUGUUUGGACUUUCAAAAGGGAAGACUCUCAUAUGUCAACAAGCCCAUGAACUGAAGCUUAAAACACUGGAAACAACAACUGUAGAGUUUCAAGUAUAUGUACAUUUAUGUAUUCAUGUUCCUUGAUGGGAAUGCUGGCUGGUGUGAAUGUUCAAUCUCCUGAGAAAUGUAAAUUUUUCUCUGACAGAUUUAUUAGCUUGCUGUAUCUGAGCACAUGAGCAAAAACAAUGCCUAAUAAGAAAACUUUCUCUCUCCUUCAAAGUCAAACUUGGGAGAAAUGAAGGGAAAUCGAGUUUUCUUUGCUUGACAGUGUUCAACAUUCUUGUAGUCAGUGUGCUCAUGAAGAUUGCAAACUUUUUUUUUUUUUUAGAGCAGCUAGGACUACAGGCGCGCACCACCACACCCAGCUAAUUUGUGUAUUUUUAGUAGAGAUGGGGUUUUAACUAUGUUGGCCAAGCUUGUCUCAAACUCCUGACCUCAAGUGAUCCAUUCGACAGCUCUUUCUUUUUUUUUUUUUUUUUUGAGACAAAGUCUCGCUCUGUCACCCAGGCUGGAGUGCAGUGGUAUGAUCUCAGCUCACUGCAACCUCCGCCUCCUGGGUUCAAGCAAUUCUCAUGCCUUAGCCUCCCGAAU